AAUACCUCUUUGAAUCCUUGUUUUCAACUCUUCUGCUUCCUGUUAUUUUUUUUUUUUUUGGAAGAAAGCUGAAUGUGGGUGUUCAUUUUGUACACAAGGGGGGAAAACUCCAGGAAUAGUCAGGAAAACUUCCCACAACUAAAAAGAACAGAGCGAGAGUGUUGGGCAAUAUAAAAUAUAGCUUUGUCUCUGGCUUCCCAGAUUUCUAUCCUAUGAGACUGGAUUACUUUCCAGUUUCCUCAUCUGUGAAACGAGGGCACUAAGGAUGCGAUUAUCAAGUCUAAGCACCGAGCAGCUGAGAACUGUGGUUUGCAAAGCUUACACUAUGGUGUUUAUGCUGCUUCAGGACCAAAUCCAAAAUUAGAAGCACUGUUUUUAAAGUUCACUCUUCAAGGUGUGGUUAAAGAAAAUUUAACCCAGUUAAAGAAAAUUUAAGGAGAAAUUAAGAUUUAUUUUUAAAAGCCUUAAGGUUUUCCAACUGACACAGUUGAGAAGAAAAUUAGGGCACCAAUUCAUCAAUUCAUCUCAGGUAGUAAGCUUUCUGGAAGAAGAAAGACAUUCAUCUGUACACUGAAGUGCUAGUCCUCAAGAUUAACCACCACCUUGUUCUUCUUAAAAUAGAGCUUGACAGAGUCAGAGGGAUGGAUUCGAAAUCAGAGUGGAUUCCCAGCAUCCACUUGGUGGCUCAUAACUGACUAUAAUAACUCUAGCCCCAAGGGACCCAAUGUCCUCUUCUGGCUUCUAUAGGCAGCACACAUGUGCAAGGUGCACAAAAUACAAGUGGGCACACACAUACACACUUAAGAAUACAUUCUAUACAUUUAAAUAAAGUUUAACUAAAAGAACAUUACAUUAUUGAAAUGAGGUUUUUCAAAUUUAAUCUUAGACUUUUAGGAUGUGUGUUUCUCUCUCUCUCUCUCUCUCUCUCUCUCUCUCUCUCUCUCUGUGUGUGUGUGUGUGGUGUGUGUGUGUGUGUGAGUGUGUGUGUGUGUCAGAGAGAGAGAGAGAGAGAGAGAGAGAGAGAGAGAAGAGCAAGUGUGAUAAUGUUGGUAUCUACAUUUUGUAAUAAAUAGCUUCAACUUGUUGAUUUUACCAAAUUUGGAAGACUACUUGGUUCACGUAUAUUAAUAAUUACUUUCCUCUUUGUUUUCUGUAAAUAAAACAGAGUUUAUUUAUGUCUGUCAUUCUAUAAUGUUACCCAAGCCAACGUCCCAUUCAGGGAUCAAAGCCAGUUGUCCUAUGCCUUUAGCCCCUGGAGGAACACCCAGGUUCUACUCUCCCUAGAGCAGGGAAAUAGAGAGUGAAACUGUGUUUCUCCAGAAUGAAAGUUAUGGCAACUCCUGUAGCCGUCUACAUUUUGUGAUGCCGGGAAGGAUGCAGGGAGGAACGGUUCUGGUUGCAGUGGUUACCCAUAAGCCAACACCUGCACUUUUUUUCAUCUAAAGCAUAACACUACCCAUCCCUUUCUGCUUCCAUUCCUGCAAAAUGUCCAUGGUGUGGCAUCAUGUUCAGUCUUUGAGCCGUGGCCUGGGGAUAUCUUCUUAACUUCCGUGUCUCGGUUCCCUCCUCUGUAACCAGAGAGUCUUGUUUCACCAGUGCCUUUGUGCAUCCUGUAAGAAGACAGUGACAUCGCUGGCUGUGUAAGUGGCCCACCAAGAGCACUGGGAAGCUGUCGGUGAUGACUGCCAUUUUGUCCUCUGCACCCUUGACCCUGACCCUCUGUCAGAGCUUACCCCCACUACCUCUGCUGAUGAUAGAACUCUCGUGUCCCUUCUAAUUCUGAACCUCUUUCCUGGCUCCAGGCCCUUGAAGCUUGCCUAAUGCAUUCAGGCACUGAUUCCACAGUCUGACGGAUUUCCAAAGGGAGCACCGCCCUUUCUUAUCACAUUCUCCCAAACCUCUGUCCUACUUCCUUGUCCAGCUGCCCAGCAUGGCUCCAACACUAACACCAUUUAAGGUUUGGGCAUCAAAAGCUCUCUUUUUACAACCUGACCUGAGGAGACUGGCUGAGGCGCGUGUGGCUUGGCUGCUGUCUGAAACCCCAGAAGACUGGAGCUCCUGCAAACCCUCGCACCACUCUUCCCCCAGUCGGUUCCGUAAUAAUUUCGGGCUGAAGCCAUGUCUCUUGCCCUGAAUCACAGGAUUUCAGCCACAGAGCCAGGAACCGGAGCCAGCUCUCGGCUUUCCCAUGGUUCUGUUCUACCCACUCAACAAUAAUGCCAAAAAGGGGGGGGAAAAAAAGGCUCAGACAUUUCAUCAAACCUGUCUCUUCUGUCAAAUUGCGUUAUUGUCAAAUUGUGUAAGACUUAUGUAAACACUCUCGCUUCACACACGGGGUUCCACAAGUCCAUGUUGCUGUGUGUUUCUCACUCUGCAGGUUUCUUAUGGAUGGGCAUGUAAAAAGUGCCAAGAUUUCAGACUUAAGAAAACACUUACAGGGCAGCCGUCCAGUGGUAUUACAGUCAGCUUGUGCCCAGAGGCACAGAGCAGAUCGUAGCAGGACCUGCUGGGUGACACUCAUUACCUACUGAGCCGGGCAGCCCAGUGGCAGCGCUAACCUCUCCGCUGUCCGACUUUUGAGGAAUGAUUACUCAAGGAAUCAGAUUGCUGUGGUAGUGCUUUGGGAAGCAUCGAAUUGACCGUGUGGUGGAUGAGUCCACAAGAUUCUCUGCUGAGUGCUGAGGAAAGACCUUUUACCAGCACAUCCGGAGGAGUUGAAAGCUUUCCACAGCACGGGGCUUGCUCCAUACAACAAAAUGAAUUCCAUAAGCCACACGCAAGUCAGUCAGACUCAGAUGAGCGUGUGGGUUACUUGAGCUUCCUGCCCCUGUUUUGCUAUGUCCAGAGGUGGAUUUACCAUCAGAGUCCAUCAGACUCAUCAUCUACAUCUCAACUACAGAGUAUCCCCAACGCCAAGCUUCUUUGGCCAUCUCUCUUUAGCCUACAAAACUGUGUGAACAUCCAGUCCUGUGUGAUUUGGAUCAAGCCCUAGAGAUGAUGCAUGUUUAUCUACGUAAAACAAGUUAGGCAGCCGAGUCAGAAGAGUGACAAACUCAGAAAUGAAUGAGUGCCCUUCCCCAGCUGAUUGCUUUUUUAAUCCGGAAACGCAACUCUAGAACUAUUUAAUCAAAUGAAGACACACGCCUUACAAUUGAAAAAUUGACUGCCAUCUUACUCUUUCCUGAAAAUGGGCAACAUCAGUUUGUGUGUUCAUUGAUUUUUUGUGAUUCGGGUCAUAGAUAACAUUUCUUGAAACUAGGCCAGGACAAUUACAAUAGCAGUAACAUUUGUAAAUCAAUGUGGAUUUCUGAUUGUUUGAGAUGAAGGUCUUCCAUUUAUUGGAAGAACUGCAGUAAAACUCUGAGGAGGAUCUACGAGAAACAUUUAGACAACUCCACAUCAUUAAAGAAGGACUCACAGAAAGAAAAAGCUCAUAUUUUUAUGACUGGACUGAAGAGCUACAAAUCCUGAACCAACCCACAUCUCACUGUUGGCUUAAGAAAAACAUGGAGCUCAAGAUGCAGCAAUAACGCACUGUCUAACUCUGCUGCCCUAGAAGACACACGGAUACAGCUUAGAAAUGAGACUGACGGUGGGGUAGCGGGUAAAGGUGCCUAUCAUCGAGCCCCAAGCCCUGACUUCCAGAAGUGACUCCUAGAAGCUGUCUUCUGACGUGUGCACACACCUGUGCAUCCAUGCACACACGCAAUAAGUACACAGGAAGUGAUUUAACUUAGUUAAAGAAUGACCUAGGGUUGGGGAUUUAGCUCAGCGGUAGAGCGCUUGCCUAGCGAGCGCAAGGCCCUGGGUUCGGUCCCCAGCUCCGGAAAAAAAAAAAAAAAAAAAAAAAGAAUGACCUAAAAGGCAUAGCUGGCCCUUUGAAGUUUCUGGUCAAAGAGUGUGACUUACAGAUACUGGAAUAGAUCUCGUGUUUACACAAAUUUGUUUCAAAAACAAAAAGGAGUGUUUUCGUUCAAAGCAAUUCCUCGUGAGCCAUGUGUCAUCACUGAGCUUCUGGUACUUGACCAAUUCUUUCAGAAACUUGCUGUAAAACAAAUGGCCAUUAAACUCUCACAAUGUCACAAUA